CCCCUCCCCUCCAAUGGCUCUGCUUCAGGAAAAGCUGGAGCUGAAAUCUCCUUCCAUCACUUUGCAUUCAUUUUUCAGCCCUUUCACAGAGCUGGGAACCUGGUCUGGUCUCGGCUUCUCUCCCCGCAGCGCUUCCCUUCAGGAGCUGCAGAACCCUCGGUGCCAUGUAAAUGAAACGUGAAACCUCGUCUUUUUCUCUUUGCAGAGGGAAGAGGACCAGAGACGCAUGCAAAGUACAGCUGUGUCUCUCAAAACACCUCUUGUCCUUCUUAAUGUAUUCCUUCGCACAUUCCGUGACUUGUUGCCGCGUGAAGGCAGCCAGGAUUUUGCCGUUGGAACUGUUGCCCCUUCCCUUCCAUCUGCUCCGUGCUUAUCUGCAGCACUUACAAUGCAGCAAACCUUGUGAGUGGAGCGCGGAGGAGCCAUAUGGCAUCCAUAGGUAACAAUGCUGCUGACAAUUGAGCUCCUAUGCUAUGUGAGACCACCGGCAAGAAAGCAAUUCGUGACCAACAGCAGGAAAAAAACCACAGUGAAAUAAAUCAAGCAAUCAAUCUUGCAGUGUUUGAGGUGAUUCCCAAGAGCGUGGCCGGGAAGGAUAACUAAAAGCAAUGAGCUUCUUCAUGUGAGUGUGUGGAAGCCAUCCCUGGGGAGAGGCACUUUGAUUUACCUCCCUCAGCUGUGGCUGCUGCAGCAAACUGCCCCCAUUCCAUUCCCAUCACCACGCUUCCCGGGAUCCCUUUGGAUUGCAGUGCACAAAUCACACUGCACCGAACUGGGCUGGAGGGUUCCCAUGUCUGCAGACAACUCCGUGGCUGCCGAUCGGAUGCUAAAUGCUUUAGUAAUGCUUUGAGCCACAAAAGAUCAUUAGCGCUGCGAGGCCAGAAGAGGUUAAUAAGAGAGCAGCUGUUGGGCCGGCUCAAUGGUGGGGUGACAAAAGGAAUAGCAAAGUGUCCCCUGAGCUGGGGGGGUCAGCCCUCCCGGCGUGGCAAAAAGCAGCUGGAGGAAUAAUGGAUGAGCUGAGCCAGGUGCGGGGCUGCUCCGAAGCAAUGCGGUGAGCUGACACUGUGAUGGGGAUGCUGCCACUGCUGCAGAAUGCUGCCCCACGUGCCCAUCCUCACCCCUCUGCUGCCUUCUCUGUAGGAAAAAAUGGGGAAAACUGCUGGAAAACUGGCUGCUUCUCGUCACAUCAGCACGGCAUGAAUACUCGAUAUUUACACGUCUCUCCCUCUGUGCACGCAGCAGAUGUAGGAGGAAAUGCCACAGAACUGCAUUGUGCCCCCAGCCAAGAGCAGGAGAGCUCGUGAGGAUGGAGGGGAAGGGCUGACAUUUCUGAUCAGACAGCCGAGCACCAGACCAGAGGGACACGGCGAGGUCGUGCAGCACCUGCUGCCAGGAGGGAUCAGCUCAGCCAAACCUCUGCUGGCAGCCAUUGGCCCGCCCUGCUCUCAGGAUGCUGCUGCACCACACGCCCUGCUGGGCGUCCCUCCCAGCCCCUCAUCCCCCUGCAGACACUUUCUGCUCAUGUCAAACCCUUGCUACUUUUAACCGUGACUUGUUUGUGAUCGCCUGUGGCCAUGAGGAAUAAUCUACUGCAUUCAUAAAGCAAGCAAAAAAAAAUAUAUUGUUUUGAUUCAAUUUUCAGGUCACCUUUACAAUUCUCUUUGCCAUUUGGAAGCAAGCUGCCUGCUGGCUCUCCAGGAGGCCCUUUUCCAGCAGAGACUGAAGAUCCCCAGGAAACGUGCCGAAAGCAGCAGGGAUGUGGCAGCAAAACCACCUCAGCAGGGAGCUGCCGUGAUGUGAGCACUGCUGUGAGCACAGGGAGAGCAGCAGCUCCCAGCGCCGAGCAUCACAGGCAGGGAAGAGUCACCCAGUCCCAUCCCCUGAGGCUCUCUGAGCACAUUGCUCCUGCUGGGCUCACUGCCCUCCGCAUCCACCUUCAUCCUUCCCCUUCACACCUCCCCUGAGCCUCGCCCAGUUCCUUUCCUCGCUUUGCCCCAUGCUGCCUUCCUCCCUGCAGCUCCUCCUCCUCCUCCUCCCUUCUUGUCAUAGAAUCAUCGGAACAGGACCAUUCAGGUUGGAGAAGCCCUCUGAGACCCCCA
rnacentral:lncRNA from 1 species